GACGAACGCUGGCGGCGUGCCUAAUACAUGCAAGUAGGACGCUGAAGGAGGAGCUUGCUUCUCUGGAUGAGUUGCGAACGGGUGAGUAACGCGUAGGUAACCUGCCUGGUAGCGGGGGAUAACUAUUGGAAACGAUAGCUAAUACCGCAUAAUAGUAGAUGUUGCAUGACAUUUGCUUAAAAGGUGCAAUUGCAUCACUACCAGAUGGACCUGCGUUGUAUUAGCUAGUUGGUGGGGUAACGGCUCACCAAGGCGACGAUACAUAGCCGACCUGAGAGGGGGAUCGGCCACACUGGGACUGAGACACGGCCCAGACUCCUACGGGAGGCAGCAGUAGGGAAUCUUCGGCAAUAGACGGAAGUCUGACCGAGCAACGCCGCGUGAGUGAAGAAGGUUGUCGGAUCGUAAAGCUCUGUUGUAAGAGAAGAACGAGUGUGAGAGUGGAAAGUUCACACUGUGACGGUAUCUUACCAGAAAGGGACGGCUAACUACGUG
rnacentral:rRNA from 1 species